rnacentral:rRNA from 1 species
ACUCAAAGGAAUUGACGGGGGCCCGCACAAGCGGUGGAGCAUGUGGUUCAAUUCGACGCAACGCGAAGAACCUUACCUGGGCUCGAACGGCUAGUGCCACCGGUAGAAAUAUCGGGUGCUUGAGAUUACAUCAAGAGCCGCUAGUCGAGGUGCUGCAUGGCUGUCGUCAGCUCGUGCCGUGAGGUGUUCGGUUAAGUCCGGCAACGAGCGCAACCCCUAUCUGCUGUUGCCAACGGGUAAUGCCGGGAACUCUGCAGAGACUGACUGCGCAAGCAGAAGGAAGGUGGGGACGACGUCAAGUCAUCAUGGCCCUUAUGUCCAGGGCUACACACGUGCUACAAUGGAUGGUACAAAGGGACGCCAACUCGCGAGAGGGAGCAAAUCUCAGAAAACCAUCCUCAGUUCGGAUCGCAGUCUGCAACUCGACUGCGUGAAGCUGGAAUCGCUAGUAAUCGCGGAUCAGCUACGCCGCGGUGAAUACGUUCCCGGGCCUUGUACACACCGCCCGU